AAAAAAAUAGUUUAUUAAUUAAAAAUAUUAAUUUUGGAGAUUAAAGAUUUUAUAAAAUUUAUAAUUUUUUGA
rnacentral:tRNA from 1 species